AAACUGAAGAGUUUGAUCCUGGCUCAGAACGAACGCUGGCGGCGUGGCUAAGACAUGCAAGUCGAACGGACUAUCUUGAAGAGUAAUCGGACAGAUAGUUAGUGGCGAACGGGUGAGGAAUGAAUAGGUAACGUACCCCGAACUUCGGAAUAGCGUCUGACUGCUUCGGCAGUCUUCCGAAAGGGGCAGUAAUACCGGAUAAUGUCACGGAACAUAAGUUUUGUGACCAAAGAUUUAUCGGUUUGGGAGCGGCCUAUUUCCUAUCAGCUUGUUGGUGAGGUAACGGCUCACCAAGGCGACGACGGGUAGCGGGACUGAGAGGUUGACCCGCCACAUCGGGACUGAGACACUGCCCGGACCUCCACGGAGGGCUGCAGUAACGAAUAUUGCGCAAUGGGCGAAAGCCUGACGCAGCAACGCCGCGUGUAGGAAGAAGCCCCUCGGGGUGUAAACUACUGUCAGGGGAAAGAAAGUUCCGACUCGUCGGGAUUGAUCUACCCCGGAGGAAGUCACGGCUAACUUCGUGCCAGCAGCCGCGGUAAGACGAAGGUGGCGAGCGUUGUUCGGAAUCACUGGGCUUAAAGAGCGCGUAGGCGGAGUGGUCAGUGUCCUGUGAAAGCCCCCGGCUUAACCGGGGAAUUGCGGGGCAUACUGCCACUCUUGAGGCAAGCAGGGGUGCAUGGAACUCUUGGUGGAGCGGUGGAAUGCGUAGAUAUCAAGAGGAACGCCGAAGGAGAAAUCAGUGCACUGGGCUUGUUAUGGUUCCCGGCUGCGAUUUAUCGUGACUGGGAGCUUUCUGACGCUGAGGCGCGAAAGCGUGGGGAGCGAACGGGAUUAGAUACCCCGGUAGUCCACGCCGUAAACGAUGUCUACUAGGUUGUGGUUGUUCUGACACAGGCACAGCCGAAGCAAAAGUGUUAAGUAGACCGCCUGGGGAGUACGGCCGCAAGGCUAAAACUCAAAGGAAUUGACGGGGGCUCACACAAGCGGUGGAGCAUGUGGAUUAAUUCGAAGCAACGCGCAGAACCUUACCUGGGUUUG
rnacentral:rRNA from 1 species